rnacentral:rRNA from 1 species
GAUGAACGCUGGCGGCGUGCCUAAUACAUGCAAGUCGAGCGAACGGACGAGAAGCUUGCUUCUCUGAUGUUAGCGGCGGACGGGUGAGUAACACGUGGAUAACCUACCUAUAAGACUGGGAUAACUUCGGGAAACCGGAGCUAAUACCGGAUAAUAUUUUGAACCGCAUGGUUCAAAAGUGAAAGACGGUCUUGCUGUCACUUAUAGAUGGAUCCGCGCUGCAUUAGCUAGUUGGUAAGGUAACGGCUUACCAAGGCAACGAUGCAUAGCCGACCUGAGAGGGGGAUCGGCCACACUGGAACUGAGACACGGUCCAGACUCCUACGGGAGGCAGCAGCAGGGAAUCUUCCGCAAUGGGCGAAAGCCUGACGGAGCAACGCCGCGUGAGUGAUGAAGGUCUUCGGAUCGUAAAACUCUGUUAUUAGGGAAGAACAUAUGUGUAAGUAACUGUGCACAUCUUGACGGUACCUAAUCAGAAAGCCACGGCUAACUACGUG